UGAAUUGACAGUGCAACAAACCGAACAACCAAGUCAAAACACAAUACAUUUUUUAUUAGCAACUUUCCACAGAAAAACCUAUAAAUGACCGAAGCCUAAUACGUGUCCAUGUAAAACAAAGGUUGGCAAACUAUUGAGUUGGGAGAUAUAUAGGAUUGGUCAGAGCACAAGUACUCUCGACAUCAUCCUCCUCUCUUCUCCAAAUUUGCAGAUCAGAUUAUCCCCAACCAGCAGUAGUAUCAAUGGCGUUCUGUGGACUCCCCUUUCCCCUCAUGAAUUGCAUCAAACCAAGUUCGAACAAGAACGGUUCCCAGGUCAAAAUUAGGUUCUCGUUUAUUCCGGAGACUGUUGAGUUUGCUGUGGAAGAAGAAGAAGAGGUGGCGACAAGACUUGCCAUGCAAGAAAUCAUGAAGAAAGUAGAGGGGAUUACGGAGAAAAUCAAGGAAGUUGGUGAAACUGCGGCUAAGAGCAUCUCCAAUGACACUCUAUUUUCUCCUCUAUAAUUCCCACAAAAAUAGAGUAACUCCAUUAUAAAGUAAGUUUUGCUCCAAUGGUUUACUAUAUAAUAGAGUUACUUUAUUUUUGUAGAGAAAAUAGUGUAAACCCAUUUUUUUACUCUAUAUUUGGAGUGAAAUAAUUGUUUCACUCUAUUUUUUCCACAAAAAUAGAGUAACUCUAUUAUAGAGUAGACCAUUGGAGCAAAACUUACUCUGUAAUAGAAUUACUCUAUUUUUAUGAGAAUUAUAGAGGAGAAAAUAGAGUGCCAUUGGAGAUGCUCUUAAGUGUAGCAAACUCGUUGCUUUGGAGAGACUUUUGGUUCUCGAGCACAUCCUUGGCUUACCCAUCAACUAGGUCUACUUGAAAGAGAACUUGCCUUAAAAAAAAAGAUCAUCAAUGGGAUGGGGACAUCAAAGUUGUUAGAGCAUGUUCGGGCUUUUAUGUUGGGCUUCUACCACUGGUUAUGGAAUUUUAAUUUAGGCUUUUCAGGUCUCCUAUGGGCUGUCCAUUUGAAAGGAGGACUGGUUUUAAAAUAAUAUGCAUAUUUAUGUGUGUGUAUAUGUGUUUCUCUUCAUUCUUUUUCAUUUAAAAUUUGAUAUUUUACCAAUAAAUUUUCAAUUUACGUA